rnacentral:rRNA from 1 species
UGCCUACGGGGGGCAGCAGUGGGGAAUGUUGCACAAUGGGGGGAACCCUGAUGCAGCGACGCCGCGUGGGUGAAGAAGUCAUUCGUGACGUAAAGCCCUAUCAGCAGGGAAGAAAAUGACGGUACCUGACUAAGAAGCCCCGGCUAACUACGUGCCAGCAGCCGCGGUAAUACGUAGGGGGCAAGCGUUAUCCGGAUUUACUGGGUGUAAAGGGAGCGUAGACGGCGGCGCAAGUCCGGUGUGAAAGCCCACGGCCCAACCCCGGGACUGCUCUUGGAACUGC